rnacentral:rRNA from 1 species
GACGAACGCUGGCGGCGUGCUUAACACAUGCAAGUCGAACGGAAAGGCCCUGCUUUUGUGGGGUGCUCGAGUGGCGAACGGGUGAGUAAGACGUGAGUAACCUGCCCUUGACUUUGGGAUAACUUCAGGAAACUGGGGCUAAUACCGGAUAGGAGCUCCUGCUGCAUGGUGGGGGUUGGAAAGUUUCGGCGGUUGGGGAUGGACUCGCGGCUUAUGAGCUGGUUGGUGGGGGAGUGGCUUACCAAGGCUUUGACGGGUAGCCGGCCUGAGAGGGUGACCGGCCACAUUGGGACUGCGAUACGGCCCAGACUCCUACGGGAGGCAGCAGUGGCGAAUAUUGCACAAUGGGCGGAAGCCUGAUGCAGCAACGCCGCGUGCGGGAUGACGGCCUUCGGGUUGUAAACCGCUUUCGCCUGUGACGAAGCGUGAGUGACGGUAAUGAGUAAAUAAGCACCGGCUAACUACGUG